AGCGAACGCUGGCGGCAGGCCUAACACAUGCAAGUCGAACGAACCUUUCGGGGUUAGUGGCGGACGGGUGAGUAACACGUGGGAACGUGCCUUUAGGUUCGGAAUAACUCAGGGAAACUUGUGCUAAUACCGAAUGUGCCCUUCGGGGGAAAGAUUAAUCGCCUUUAGAGCGGCCCGCGUCUGAUUAGCUAGUUGGUUGAGGUAAUGGCUCACCAAGGCGACGCUCAGUAGCUGGUCUGAGAGGAUGAUCAGCCACAUUGGGACUGAGACACGGCCCAAACUCCUACGGGAGGCAGCAGUGGGGAAUCUUGCGCAAUGGGCGAAAGCCUGACGCAGCCAUGCCGCGUGAAUGAUGAAGGUCUUAGGAUUGUAAAAUUCUUUCACCGGGGACGAUAAUGACGGUACCCGGAGAAGAAGCCCCGGCUAACUUCGUG
rnacentral:rRNA from 1 species